rnacentral:rRNA from 1 species
CACGUAGGGCGCAAGCGUUGUCCGGAAUUAUUGGGCGUAAAGAGCUCGUAGGCGGUCCGUCACGUCCGCUGUGAAAACCCAGGGCUCAACCCUGGGCUUGCAGUGGAUACGGGCAGACUAGAGGUAGGUAGGGGAGAAUGGAAUUCCCGGUGUAGCGGUGAAAUGCGCAGAUAUCGGGAGGAACACCGGUGGCGAAGGCGGUUCCCUGGGCCUUACCUGACGCUGAGGAGCGAAAGCGUGGGGAGCGAACAGG